UGUACAGCUUCCAGGGAAACAAAAACGGAUGGAAAGGUGUUUUGGGUGUCCUCACCAGAGCAACAAGCUUCCAUUCUCGCUGCCAGGCCUCUGAGCGACGCAAUUAAACCCAGCUUUCAGGGUGAAUGGUAAACCCCGAAGCAGGCUCUGCCCCUGGAAGAGAGGAAGGAGCUCACGCACUGAAAAGUGUGUUGGUAGUUUCACUUUACUUCGUGGCCUUGUAGGGCCCCAAGACUCCGCUGGAGGCGGUGAGAUUACUUGAAUUCAUCAUGUGUUUCCUUACACCUGCUGUUGGUGUCAUCUUGGUACUACCCUUCAGUCAUUCCCUUCUUUGUGAAAAUAAAAAUAAUGAUUUCAAACAUUGGCAGUAUCUAGAAGCUCAGAUGAGAGUAAAGAGAGAAGAGAUUUUCUUUUUAAUUUGGGCAAGGGCUGCAGGACAUGCCGUGUUAAAUCUUACAGACAAGGAUUUAUGUCAGAAGAUCAGCCACCUGUGUCAGGCCUGUCUGCAAGGGAAGACGGAAACUAAUAUUUUUUGACUACUUGUUAUUUGCUUGGGUCUCUGCAUAUGUCAUACCAUUAAAUACAAUUAUCCCUCUGAACUUCCCUCUUCUCCCUUCUGCUCGUGCCAGCCCAUCCACCAUCCAAGAUCCCCGCUAAAGAUGAAGGUCUCAGCUCACGUGGCUGACCAACAGCAGCAGGGAGAAUGGUAUCCAGUACUAUGUGAUUCCAAUCCCAAGUCCUUUCCGGGACCCCUGGCCACCUCCACUUGAGAAGAGUGUCACCUCUUGAGUGAUUUAACUCAGCUCAUCCUUCUGUACAUGGCAACAGUAAUACUCGGGCAACCCAGGAGAAACUGCAGUGGGGUCGUUUGUAUAGCUGGAUAACUCUAGCUGGGUCAAAUUGAAG
rnacentral:lncRNA from 1 species